GAACUUGAUGCAGUAAAUCAGCCGCAAUCAAUACCUGAUGAAGGAGAGGAUGUGGGAAGGGCUCCUGGGCUUCCUGCCCCUGCAUUAGGGAACGCAUGUGAUGUCUGAGUGCAGAGGUUUGUAGAAACACGGGCUGGAGUUAUGAGCAGCGGGGCGUAGAUCUGGAUGUCCCCCGCACUAGUAGACUGUGAACAUUUUGGAGGCUGCCGUGUAUGAACAGAGCUCAGAAAUAGCCUCCAUUCUUAGGAAGCACAGCCAGGGCUCAUCGCCAAGGACAAAGCCAAGGUCACUAGGAAAGAAUGGGGCUGGGCGGCAACUCAGCCACGAGUGUCACAAUGAGGUGAGAGAGGAGGGGCUGGCACGUGACUUAGUCACAACAACCAGUGUGGUGUUUUCCCGGAUGUCGUUCACUGAACCCUCAUCAAAGGGUUUUGGUGGCCCGAGGAACUGCAGUCCAGACUACAGUUGGAGCCGGCUUGUCCAAGCCUGGCUUUCCCUCUGUAACGUGGACAUGAAUGAUCCCUCUCUCCCGAGCUGGGUGAGGCUGAAUUAUGGAAAUAAGUGAAUGCCCCGUGUAAACUCUAGGAAGUACCUUAAUCAGCAAAAGAAAAGCGGUGGGUGUGGUCCCCUUUGCUCCAAGCACUUCCUUCUACCUUUUGGUGACAUCGUAUUUGUGCAGCCGGUGUCAGCGUCAAAGCCUUUCACCAGAGAGGACUUUUCUGCUCUCUCAGUCUAAAUUAUGGCUCUUUUGGUGAAGUU